GCUGUGGAGGAUUUGUUCUUUUGCUGUUUGUAAUAAAUCUUGCUGCAGCUAACUUUUUGGGUCUGCGCCGCUUUUAUGAGCUGUAAUACUCACCGCGAAGGUCUGCAGCUUCACUCCUGAGGCCAGCAAGACCAUGAACCCACCGGAAGGAACGAAACUCCAGACGUGCAGCCUUUAAGAGCUGUAACACUCACCGUGAAGGUCUGCAGCUUCGCUCCUGAAGUCAGCGAGACCACGAAACCACCAGAAGGAACAAACUCCAGACACACCAUCUUUAAGAACUGUAACACUCACCGCGGGGGUCUGCUGCUUCAUUCUUGAAGUCAGUGAGACGAAGAAGCCACCAAUUCCGGACGCACUACAACAUGAAUGAAUCUCAAAAAUAUUAUGGACUUCUUUGGAGGAAAUCUAUGCAAAGAUAAACAGAACAGAUGAAGAAGGUGGGAGAACCAUGAUGGAGAGGUUUACAAGCUGAUUUGUUAAAAUGAUCUUUUUUGAUUGGAGAUGAACUGUGGAUAAACGAACACUGUCUGUGAG
rnacentral:lncRNA from 10 species